UUACUAUUUAUUUGCUUAUAUAUGAAUUAUCUGCUUGUUGGAUAAAAACGUUAUAUGUGUAGUUCUCUGUCUGCAGGUAUAUAUUAUUAUUAUAUCUGUAUAAAUAUAUAAAUAUAUAAAUAUAUAAAUAUAUAAACAUAUAAAUAGAAAUCAAACAUUUACAAGUGGAGACACGUUGAGGAAACGGUGCUUUUAUUGUGAAAAGCCCGUCCCGGACGCUAACCGGACGCUGAGUGAGGCCGCGGACGGACUCGGUGUCGGUCGGUGUCGGUCGGUGGGUGCUGUCGGUGCUUUAACGGUGUCAGCAGCCUGGAGCCCUGAACCUGCAUCCACUCAGACCGUCAUGUAAACCACAACCAGCUGUGAGCCAGUAACACGGUCCAGAACCAGCAAGUAACUGCUCCCGGUCUCAGAGGGUCAGGGUGGCUGCGGUGUCGCAUUGGUGGAGGAGCAGGCCGAUGGAGAGCGACUGUCGGAUCCCUGUGGCCUGCUGUCGGCCUCGAGUCCUCGUCCUCCACGCUCUGUUCUGGGGCCUCGUCUCCCUCAGGUCAGUCUGAGGUUCUAGAAGUCCUUUAGAGGGUUCCUGUGGUCCUUUAGAGGGUUCCUGUGGUCCUUUAGAGGGUUCCGGUGGUCUUUGAGGGUUCCGGUGGUCUUUGAGGGUUCCGGUGGUCCUUUAAAGGGUUCGGGUAGUCCUUUAGAGCAGGGGUCUUCAGCGUUUUCCAUGCCAAGGCCCCCAAACUGAUGGAGAGAUGGAGCGGGACCCCCUACUUUUAUAUAUAUUUAUAUAUAUAUAUAUAUAUAUAUAUAUAUAUAUAUAUAUAUAUAUAGUAUAAAAUUGUGUUUUAUAUGAAACUGGUCCUAUAGUGUAUAAUGUAUAAAUGUACCUUGUUAUUGUGCAUUCAAUACUAAGAUAUUCAAAUAAUACACAGGUUCAUAUAUUCGUGUUUUUAUUUUAAACAUGUGUAAGGUACAGUGAGUAGGGUGGCCAUGCCACUGGCAUUCAUAAACAUAACACAAUCAACUGAUACCUGCCAAGAUCAACAAUGUCUGUCAAUUGCAUGUAAUCAUGCAUAAAAGCUAUUCAAAUGGACAUUUUCAAAACAUAAAUGUGGAAAUGAAAAUUAGUGAUGCUUGUUAGUGCCACUGGCAUGCAUAAACACACCUGUUAUAUUGCUUACAAUACUGAACUAUUAACAUAACUGACAGAUUCAUGUUUUAAUUUUAAACAUACAUGUAGUAUGGGCAGUGAAUCCUCAAACCCUCUAUGGAUGGCAUACAUACUCCCACAUUAGUGAGAUGUCUGACCCUGAUGAGUAGCACACAACUUGUCUAACCUUGGACGUAUGGAGGUUGUCAGGCAGGGUCAUAUCAGUCUCAGGCUGCAGCCUCCACCUGUAUUUGUUUUUCAGGUAGGUGAGUGAGGAAAAUCCACUUUCACAAAGAUUUGUUGUAGCAAAGGGCAACAGGCUCAUCAUUGCUUUUGCUGCCAGUUGUUGAAAGUCUUUCUGGCAAGAUAUCCA
rnacentral:lncRNA from 15 species